CGGUCUAUUCUUGCCCAUUGUGCAUCAUUUUGGUUAGCAAUUGUUCAGUUUUACUCGCCAUAAGUUUGUUGCUGUUAAAAAUAAAGCUUGCGAUAAGUACUUAUGCAAUUUCUUAGUUGUUUGCUGCAAUGGUACCUCCAAUCUAGUGCUAGUGGGCAUGCUAGAUUUAAAUUUGUGCUACUCUUGCAAGCAUAGAUGUGGUAAAACACUUCUUUUGUGGGUAACAAUUGAGAUGAAGUGGCCUUGCAUUGGUUGACUGAACAAAGGAGGUAAUAUCCUAGUGAAGACUGGAACUAUGCUAUAACUUGCUUGCAUCAGGAAAAAUGUAUGUAAUGGUGUAAGCAAAUAGUAUGUAAAAAAAAACUAAUUCCCUGUCACCGCCCCCAGAGUCGACCUAAAUGUUUGUUCAGAAAUUUGAACCGUGACAGCACCGAAACCAACAUGACUUUGUACAUAUCAGUGAUCAAGUGUAGGUUUGUAGGUAGACUCUUCAACAGAAUAAUAAAAUACAGAUUUAGCAAAUAAAGCUAUGUAUGCUAAUACAACUUAUUUAGUUAUUCUGCGGCUUCAGCACUGUCAUGUAUUCAUCGUAGCUGAUGUACGAUGAUUUUUUGAUGAACUAUACUGCUUAGCUUGUUGGACAUGCAGAUUUUGUAGAAAAUGAACAAUAAUAAAGUAGUUGUACCACUGCUAUAGACAUGCUUUUCUUUGGCCCCAUUUAGUAUUUAUUCAUCCACAUGAUUAUAUCCAUGCUUUAAAAAAUCCAGUAUGUUAUUGAUCAUUUCCAUUUUGUCACAUCAGCACUAGGCCAGUAGCUAUAAGAGACUCUUUGGUUCUGAAACUAUGGGCAGCUUGUUGCUAGCUUUAGCGACAGGUAGCAAUCUGUGGCUUCGAUGGGCGGCCAGGUCUCCAAAGGUCAACCACUGCCCAUGUACUGACGAAUUACGCAGCACACAACCACUGCCCAUGGCUCUGAUGUGAAUGUGGCAAGGCAACUGAACAAGUUUUCCAUGGCCAGAUCGACGGCAAUGCGAUGCCAUACAAUCACAUAUAUCAAACAUCAAGUGCUCAACAUUAAAUGGGAAUGGCAUAUAGCUUCUGCUCUCAACUAAGCAAGCCUGGCAAUUAUGGCAAAUGGAAAGGAACUAGCAUUUCACUCCAUAGAUGAUUCUGCCAUUUGGACAAUGUAAUUUGUUACAUAGAUUGUUUCCACUGUUUAUUGUAGGGCAAAUGAGUCCACGCUUGUAGUAGUUCUUAUGGAUGCGAUUGUGCAUCAGUGUUACAAUGCUCUCCAGUCAUCAUGACACUUUAUUUAUGCCAGGAUUCUUAUACUGUGUUGGCACCUGGAAUUCUUAGGUCACAUUUUAUCCAAUUUUUAAUGGGAAGAAAUGUAUUUAAUUA